UGGGGAAUAUUGCACAAUGGGCGAAAGCCUGAUGCAGCAACGCCGCGUGAGUGAUGAAGGUCUUCGGAUUGUAAAGCUCUGUCUUUUGGGACGAUAAUGACGGUACCAAAGGAGGAAGCCACGGCUAACUACGUGCCAGCAGCCGCGGUAAUACGUAGGUGGCGAGCGUUGUCCGGAUUUACUGGGCGUAAAGGGUGCGUAGGCGGAUGUUUAAGUGAGAUGUGAAAUACCCGGGCUUAACUUGGGUGCUGCAUUUCAAACUGGAUAUCUAGAGUGCAGGAGAGGAGAAUGGAAUUCCUAGUGUAGCGGUGAAAUGCGUAGAGAUUAGGAAGAACACCAGUGGCGAAGGCGAUUCUCUGGACUGUAACUGACGCUGAGGCACGAAAGCGUGGGUAGCAAACAGGAUUAGAUACCCUGGUAGUCCACGCCGUAAACGAUGAGUACUAGGUGUAGGAGGUAUCGACCCCUUCUGUGCCGCAGCAAACACAUUAAGUACUCCGCCUGGGAAGUACGAUCGCAAGAUUAAAAC
rnacentral:rRNA from 1 species